AAAAAGGCAUAUCUAUCAAGAACAAAGGGAGAUUCAAAACCAAAAUCCAACCCGUUAAAUUGAGUAUUCCGAUUCAAAGCGAAAUUAGGUUUUGUUUGGUAACUCCGAAUCCCAGAGAUUUUGGGAUUUAUUUGUCAGCAUAAGAAUCUUGGCGACACAAUUCUUUAUUGAAAGUGAGGUUAAUUUUUGUUUCAAUUCCCAGCUUCUGAAAUUUGAGUGAGUUUGACAAGCUUAGAGUGUGAUUAUGGUGAAACGUUUAAGGAAAUUGUGCGAUAAACGUGAGCUAUCUGAAGAUAUCAAAAUUGAAAUAUUGCAUCGUUUGCCUUCAAAAUCUCUAGAUAGGUUUAAAUGUGUAUCCAGAAGCUGGCAAAAGUACAUUUCUGAUUCAUCUUCAAGUUAUAGCUGCCGUUCUCGACGAUGGAGGCCUCGACCCGAAUUAAUUGGUAUUUUUUAUCAAACCCGAAGACUUUCCAAAAUUGGCUUCUUCUCCGAAUCAAAGAAAUCAUCAUCGAAAAACAUUGAUUUAGAUGAGUCAGUUAAUUUUCUUAACAGGAAAGUAUAUAUUGUUGCAUCAUCCAAUGGUUUUCUUCUUUGCACUAAACAUAGAAGAAGCCCUAGGGUUUAUUAUGUUUAUAAUCCUGCCACGAGGCAGCAUUUGGCUCUCCCUAAAACUCAAAUCUGCAUGGAGAACGGCACAGCUGUUGGAUUUAGUUGUAAGGUAGACGACUCUGAUAAAGAUGUCAUCUCCUUUACUAUAGUUCGUUAUGAAAUACCUCGUCGUUUUGAUGAGCUACAGUCCAGUGUAACAAUGUGUGGACUGCCAAUAAUUUAACUCUGGAUGUACCUCUUAGAUUAAACCCUUUUAACUGGGAUGGGAUAUUUAGAUCAGCUGCAUCAGCUGGUGUCAUUGAUGGAGUAUUUUGUUGGCUUGAUCAAGGUGGACAGAUCACUUUUUAUGAUAGUGUCUACAAGUGUUUCUGGGCUUUGGAAUUGCCUGAAGAGAUGGUGUUCGGAAACAGUUGUUAUCUUGGAUUAUCUGGUGGGGCUCUCGAUUUUGCAUUGAAUUGUGGGGAUGCCAUUACCGUGUGGCGCCUCGAGAGCGAUAUUUGUAGUCGAGAUGCAGUAGUAUGGGUUAGGAAGUACGAUGCAGAAGUCGCAGCUACAGUGAUGCAAUGUCCGGAUGCAUUUGGACUUGGAGGCGACACUCUCCGUGUCAAGGCUUUCGGGCUUACAGGCUCUCUUAGUGUUGAGGUGCAGAACAUGGUUAUUCAUCCUGCUGUUCCUUACAUUUUUUAUUUGGAAGUAAGAGGCAAGGUUAUUUCUUAUGACUUGGAAACGGAUAUUGCACAACUUGUGUAUGAUUUUGGAGAACCUUGGUGGAGAACACAACACUACAGAUUAUUUGCUUAUGAGUGGCAUCAAUGGCCACGUCUUGUGUAGACUAUGGAUUACUCGUCUUGGUUAUUCUCUAGCAUUGAUGUGUACUUCUUUUAAUGACAAUUUCUGUUAUGGUUUUACUCGUCUUGGUUUUACUUCAUAUUUUUUUAUGGACUUCUUUCUUUUUAUUUAUGUUAAAUCAUUUAUUUGAUCCUUGAUUGUACUCUAUUGUGAAAUCUAAUAAAAACAAUAAGACUAGAAUAUGAGCCUUAGCUUCUCACCAAUCAAAAAAAGAUGAGCCUUUGCUUCAUUUGAGAUUCCUACUAAAAAAAGUCAUUGCCUCAGAAAAUACAUUUAUAAAGUUUGAUGGAUGGAGAUGAAAGGGAUGGUCAUAUUUAUACAAACAUCUUUCUUUAUUCAUACUUUUUAAUGGUUUUCUUUCCACUUUUCUCAUUUUACUCUUUUAAUACAAUGCUCCAACCAUUGGUACAGAUUCAUACCGUUGGCUUUUUCUCACAAUGGAGGUGAGUGUAAUAUCUCAUUUUAUAAGGCAAGUUAGUGUUACUGAGUUAAAGGAUUUCCGUACAUGUUGGGGUAAAAUAUGUAUCAAGCCAAUUUAAUAUAAUGUACUAUCAAUUUCAUCAGGAUAGAUUGAAAAGAUAAUAUUUGAUGAAGAAAAACACAAUGUUGGUUUUCCUGUUUUGCAAUGAUUUUUAAAACUUUUUGGUCCUGUAGACUAUCACUUUCAAUGAGGGAUAUGUGAAAAGUCUGUUGCACUGGUUCGUUGUGGCUGUUGAUGAGCCAUCAACAAAGCCUCUUGUUCUUUGGCUUCAAGGAGGUCAAUAUCUCUUUCCCAACUUUUUUCCCUUUUAUUCCAUUCUAUUUCUCAUCUUUUAGCUUGAGCUAGUUUGACUACAGUGUUUUGAUGAUUUUUUGUUGUCUAUAUCAGUUAAAAUAUGAUCAAAUUCCAUUUUCUUGAAAUUGUAUGAUUUCCUCCUCUAAGAUUGGAUAAUUUUCUGAUAUUUAGCAGCUAUCCUCCGGAAUUAGUCGCGGUGCAUGCAAGCUGGCCCGGACACCACAACUAGAAAAACAAAAUCUGAUAUCGGGAUACUAAUCUGCGGUUUUUCCGCAUUACUUUUGCACAUUCUUUCUAAAAGGCCUUGAUGUUCAUUGAUUGUCUAUGGACUAGCUGAGGAAGUUGGACCUUUUCAUAUUGAGAAAGAUUGGAAGUACCCUUUAUUGGAACCCUUACUUUCGUAACUUAGAUGCAAACCUAUUAUUUCCCGACUCUCCUGUCGGAGUUGGUUAUUCAUAUUCAAACAUUUCCUCUGGUCAUCUCAAAUUAUGGCGAUAAAGAGUACUGGUAGCUAUUGGAUCUGUUUGUAUCAACUUUUUUCCUUCCAACGAUGAAUGAUAUUUCACCUGUUUACAACAUGCUAUAAAUUUGUACCUUCAAUUAUUGUGUUGCAGCUGAAGACUCCCUAGCUUUUUUUCUCAAGUGGUUUGAACGGUUUCCAGAAUAUAAAGGAAGAGACUUUUAUAUGUCAGGAGGGAGCUAUGCUGGUAAACUAUUUGUCUAACCACUAAUUGAACUUCUGUUCCCACACAUUUUGUGAUUAGCUGUAUUCAGCGGGAAAAAAAAAGUUUGUUCACCUCCAUCAUUUACUAUAUGCAUCUGAUUAGAUGUUUCAAGCCAAACUUUAGGUCUUUGAGGACGUGUUUACUUUCAGCUAAAUUUGCUGAAUGAAUUGAAGCAAUUUUGAUAGUGAAAUCA